AGUGAACGCUGGCGGUAGGCCUAACACAUGCAAGUCGAACGGCAGCACAGUAAGAGCUUGCUCUUACGGGUGGCGAGUGGCGGACGGGUGAGGAAUACAUCGGAAUCUACUUUUUCGUGGGGGAUAACGUAGGGAAACUUACUCUAAUACCGCAUACGACCUACGGGUGAAAGCAGUGGAUCUUCGGACCUUGCGCGUUUGAAUGAGCCGAUGUCGGAUUAGCUAGUUGGCGGGGUAAAGGCCCACCAUGGCGACGAUCCGUAGCUCGACUGAGAGGAUGGUCAGCCACACUGGAACUGAGACGCGGUCCAGACUCCUACGGGAGGCAGCAGUCGGGAAUAUUGGGCAAUGGGCGCAAGCCUGAUCCAGCCAUAGCGCGUGGGUGAAGAAGGCGUUCGGGUUGGAAAGCCCUUUUGUUGGGAAAGAAAAGCAGCAGGUUAAUACCACGCUGUUCUGACGGUACCCAAAGAAUAAGCACCGGCUAACUUCGUG
rnacentral:rRNA from 1 species